rnacentral:rRNA from 1 species
UACGAGGGGGGCAAGCGUUGUUCGGAAUUAUUGGGCGUAAAGGGCGCGUAGGCGGUGUGACAAGUCACCUGUGAAACCUCUGGGCUUAACCCAGAGCCUGCAGGCGAAACUGUCGUGCUGGAGGGUGGGAGAGGUGCGUGGAAUUGCAGGUGUAGCGGUGAAAUGCGUAGAUAUCUGCAGGAACACCCGUGGCGAAAGCGGCGCGCUGGACCACUACUGACGCUGAGGAACGAAAGCUAGGGGAGCAAACAGG